UUUCAUGCCUGCUUCUCCCCCACCCCGUGUUUAAAGUGCAAUUACCGCUGUGACAUCAUAAUCCCCCACUGACCAGCUGUCAGGGGGCCCCAGCUGCUGAGUAAACAGGGCUUUACAAUAUCUCCUCCCACAGGUUGGUCUACUAAAUAGAUCAAUAUUUGGUUUGCAGGCACAGGGAUUAGGAGGUGGAAGUGUCUUUUGAAAAAGCCCUCUCUCUUCCCAGGGCCUCUUGGGCAUCUGAGCGUGUUGCCGAGAAAGCCAGGUUUACAGACAAAGAGAAGACCCACCGAGUCUCUCCCACCUGCUCUGGCCCUGGGGAAGUAAAAGAAUGACAGAUGGAUAAACAGGAGCUGAGCCCCUGCAGAUUCCCCAGGCCUGCAGGAAGUAACCAGUUUAACGUGGAAAGAAAAGAAACACAGAGGGAGCUCUAAUAUUCAAUGACGUCCAAGAAGGGGAAGAAUACUUCCUUCACAGUUGUCAUGGACCACCAUGCUGCUUUGCUAAUUAAAUCAUCUUAGAUGACCAUGCUGGCCUCUAAAAACUAAAACACUCUGACUGA